rnacentral:rRNA from 1 species
UGGGGAAUAUUGCACAAUGGGCGAAAGCCUGAUGCAGCAACGCCGCGUGCGGGAUGACGGCCUUCGGGUUGUAAACCGCUUUCAGCAGGGGGCGAAGGUUUUCUGACGGUACCUGCAGAAGAAGCACCGGCUAACUACGUGCCAGCAGCCGCGGUGAUACGUAGGGUGCGAGCGUUGUCCGGAAUUAUUGGGCGUAAAGAGCUUGUAGGCGGUCCGUUGCGUCGGAANUGAAAACUCAGGGCUUAACCCUGAGCCUGCUUUCGAUACGGGCGGACUUGAGGGAUGUAGGGGAGAACGGAAUUCCUGGUGGAGCGGUGGAAUGCGCAGAUAUCAGGAGGAACNCCAGUGGCGAAGGCGGUUCUCUGGACAUUUCCUGACGCUGAGAAGCGAAAGCGUGGGGAGCAAACAGGCUUAGAUACCCUGGUAGUCCACGCCGUAAACGGUGGGCACUAGGUGUGGGACCCAUUCCACGGGUUCCGUGCCGUAGCUAACGCAUUAAGUNCCCCCGCCUGGGGGAGUACGG